GCCUAAUACAUGCAAGUCGAACGAGAACCGGUAGCAAUACUGGGGAAAGUGGCGAAAGGGGCAGUAAUGUAUGGGUAACCUACCCCGGGGACGGGGAUAGCCGGUAGAGAUACCGGGUAAUACCUGGCGAUUCGGUUGGGAGGCAUCUCCUGGCCGGGAGAUGAAUUUCGCCUCGGGAGGGGCCCAUAUCGUAUUAGCUAGUUGGUGAGGUAACGGCUCACCAAGGCAAAGAUGCGUAGCGGGUGUGAGAGCACGACCCGCGCCACUGGCACUGAGACACUGGCCAGACACCUACGGGUGGCUGCAGUCGAGGAUCUUCGGCAAUGGGCGCAGGCCUGACCGAGCGACGCCGCGUGUGUGACGAAGGCCUUCGGGUUGUAAAGCACUGUCGAGGGGGAGAAAGUCCCGAGCAAUCGGGAUUGAUCGAUCCCUGGAGGAAGCACGGGCUAAGUUCGUGCCAGCAGCCGCGGUAAGACGAACCGUGCGAACGUUGUUCGGAAUCACUGGGCUUAAAGGGCGCGUAGGCGGGCGAUCAAGUCAGCGGUGAAAUCCUCCAGCUCAACUGGAGAACUGCCCCUGAUACUGGUCGCCUCGAGGGAGGUAGGGGCAUGCGGAACUGAUGGUGGAGCGGUGAAAUGUGUUGAUAUCAUCAGGAACUCCCGGUGGCGAAAGCGGCGUGCUGGACCUCUUCUGACGCUGAGGCGCGAAAGCUAGGGGAGCGAACGGGAUUAGAUACCCCGGUAGUCCUAGCCCUAAACGAUGGGUACUAGGUUGUAGACUUGACAUGGGUUUACAGCCGGAGCAAAAGUGCUAAGUACCCCGCCUGGGGAGUAUGGUCGCAAGGCUGAAACUCAAAGGAAUUGACGGGGGCUCACACAAGCGGUGGAGCAUGUGGCUUAAUUCGAGGCUACGCGAAGAACCUUAUCCUGGAUUUGACAUAUGCGAAAGCGCUGAGAAGUAGAAAGCGGAAACGCCUACGAACGGUAUCCAGUCCGGAACUCAGUACAGGUGCUGCAUGGCUGUCGUCAGCUCGUGUCGUGAGAUGUCGGGUUAAGUCCCAUAACGAGCGAAACCCCUGUCCGCUAGUUGCCACCGGGUCAAGCCGAGCACUCUAGGGAGACUGCCGUUGUCAAAACGGAGGAAGGUGGGGAUGACGUCAAGUCCUCAUGGCCUUUAUAUCCAGGGCUGCACACGUGCUACAAUGGCGUGAACAAAGGGAAGCAAACGCGCGAGCGGGAGCAAAUCCCAAAAAACACGCCUCAGUUCAGAUCGAAGGCUGCAACUCGCCUUCGUGAAGUUGGAAUCGCUAGUAAUCGCAGGUCAGCAACACUGCGGUGAAUGUGUUCCUGAGCCUUGCACACACCGCCCG
rnacentral:rRNA from 1 species